rnacentral:lncRNA from 1 species
UUGUUGAUGUUGCUAUUGUUGUUGUUGUUUUUAUUGUUAUUUAGUUUUCCUACUUAACAAAUAUUUGAAAUUUAUAUGUUGUUGUUUAGUUGUUUUUAUUGAGUUUGAGAUUAAGAUUGAGAUGUUUAGUGGUUCUACUUCGUAGAGUUUUGAAAGCUAUAUGGUGUUUUUUAUUUUUUGUUCUUGAGUUUGAAAUUGAGAUUAUGUUUUUGUGAUUCUUAGUGCAACACUCAUCUUGUUUUGUCGUAUAUGUCAAAAGGAUAUUAGAG